rnacentral:rRNA from 1 species
UGAGGAAUAUUGGUCAAUGGGCGCAAGCCUGAACCAGCCAUCCCGCGUGCAGGAAGACGGCGCUAUGCGUUGUAAACUGCUUUUCUGGAGGAAGAAACGCUGCGACGUGUCGUGGUUUGACAGUACUUCAGGAAUAAGCAUCGGCUAACUCCGUGCCAGCAGCCGCGGUAAUACGGAGGAUGCGAGCGUUAUCCGGAUUCAUUGGGUUUAAAGGGUGCGUAGGCGGACUAAUAAGUCAGUGGUGAAAUCCUGCAGCUUAACUGUAGCACUGCCAUUGAUACUGUUAGUCUUGAGUUUGGUUAAGGUAGGCGGAAUGUGUAAUGUAGCGGUGAAAUGCUUAGAUAUUACCCAGAACACCAAUUGCGAAGGCAGCUUACUGGACCGAUACUGACGCUGAUGCACGAAAGCGUGGGGAGCGAACAGG